rnacentral:rRNA from 1 species
AACGAACGCUGGCGGCAGGCCUAACACAUGCAAGUCGAACGCGUCCUUCGGGACGAGUGGCAGACGGGUGAGUAACGCGUGGGAACGUACCCUUUGGUUCGGAACAACGCCGGGAAACUGGCGCUAAUACCGGAUAAGCCCUUCGGGGAAGGAUUAUCGCCAGAGGAUCGGCCCGCGUUAGAUUAGCUUGUUGGUGAGGUAAUGGCUCACCAAGGCUACGAUCUAUAGCUGGUCUGAGAGGAUGAUCAGCCACACUGGGACUGAGACACGGCCCAGACUCUUACGGGAGGCAGCAGUGGGGAAUCUUGGACAAUGGGCGAAAGCCUGAUCCAGCCAUGCCGCGUGAAUGAUGAAGGCCCUAGGGUUGUAAAAUUACUUUCGACGGGGAAGAUAAUGACGGUACCCGGAGAAGAAGCCCCGGCUAACUUCGUGCCAGCGA